rnacentral:snRNA from 1 species
GUGCUUCCUUCUGCAGCACACACACUAAAAUUGGAAUGAUACAGAGAAGAUUACAUGGCCCCUGUGCAAAUUCCUGAAGUAUUCCAUUUAAAA